rnacentral:rRNA from 1 species
GAUGAACGCUGGCGGCGUGCCUAAUACAUGCAAGUCGAGCGAACAGACGAGGAGCUUGCUCCUCUGACGUUAGCGGCGGACGGGUGAGUAACACGUGGAUAACCUACCUAUAAGACUGGGAUAACUUCGGGAAACCGGAGCUAAUACCGGAUAAUAUAUUGAACCGCAUGGUUCAAUAGUGAAAGACGGUUUUGCUGUCACUUAUAGAUGGAUCCACGCCGCAUUAGCUAGUUGGUAAGGUAACGGCUUACCAAGGCAACGAUGCGUAGCCGACCUGAGAGGGUGAUCGGCCACACUGGAACUGAGACACGGUCCAGACUCCUACGGGAGGCAGCAGGAGGGAAUCUUCCGCAAUGGGCGAAAGCUUGACGGAGCAACGCCGCGUGAGUGAUGAAGGUCUUCGGAUCGUAAAACGCUGUUAUUAGGGAAGAACAAAUGUGUAAGUAACUAUGCACGUCUUGACGGUACCUAAUCAGAAAGCCACGGCUAACUACGU